rnacentral:rRNA from 1 species
GACGAACGCUGGCGGCGUGCUUAACACAUGCAAGUCGAACGGAAAGGCCCUGCUUUUGGGGUGUGCUCGUGUGGCGCGCGUGUGUGUCACGCGUGAAUCCUCCCCCUGUCUCUUUGGUAUAACCUCAAGACUCUGUCGCUUAUCCCGGAUAGGCGCCUCUGGCGCGUGGGGUGUUGGGGAAAUUUUUCGGUGAUGGAUGGACUCGCGGCUUAUCAGCUUGUUGGUGUGGUAUUGGCUCACCAAGGCGCCGACGGGUAGCCGGCCUGAGAGGGUGACCGGCCACAUUGGGACUGAGAUACGGCCCAGACUCCUACGGGAGGCAGCAGUGGGGAAUAUUGCACAAUGGGCGGAAGCCUGAUGCAGCAACGCCGCGUGAGGGAUGACGGCCUUCGGGUUGUAAACCGCUUUCACUAGGGAAGAAGCGUGAGUGACGGUAACUGGAGAAGAAGCACCGGCUAACUACGUG